rnacentral:rRNA from 1 species
CCUACGGGUGGCAGCAGUGGGGAAUAUUGCACAAUGGGGGAAACCCUGAUGCAGCGACGCCGCGUGAGUGAAGAAGUAUUUCGGUAUGUAAAGCUCUAUCAGCAGGGAAGAAAAUGACGGUACCUGAUUAAGAAGCCCCGGCUAACUACGUGCCAGCAGCCGCGGUAAUACGUAGGGGGCAAGCGUUAUCCGGAUUUACUGGGGGUAAGGGGAGCGUAGACGGUAAUGCAAGUCAGCAGUAAGAGCCCGGGGCUCAACUCCGGGACUGCUUUUAAACUGUGUGACUGGAGUGGAGGAGAGGUAAGCGGAAUUCCUGGUGUAGCGGUGAAAUGCGUAGAUAUCAGGAGGAACACCAGUGGCGAAGGCGGCUUACUGGACUGUAACUGACGUUGAGGCUCGAAAGCGUGGGGAGCAAACAGGAUUAGAUACCCCGGUAGUC